rnacentral:rRNA from 1 species
CCUACGGGAGGCAGCAGUCGAGAAUCAUUCACAAUGGGGGAAACCCUGAUGGUGCGACGCCGCGUGGGGGAAUGAAGGUCUUCGGAUUGUAAACCCCUGUCAUGUGGGAGCAAAUUAAAAAGAUAGUACCACAAGAGGAAGAGACGGCUAACUCUGUGCCAGCAGCCGCGGUAAUACAGAGGUCUCAAGCGUUGUUCGGAAUCACUGGGCGGAAAGCGUGCGUAGGCUGUUUCGUAAGUCGUGUGUGAAAGGCGCGGGCUCAAGCCGCGGACGGCACAUGAUAAUGCGAGACUAGAGUAAUGGAGGGGGAACCGGAAUUCUCGGUGUAGCAGUGAAAUGCGUAGAUAUCGAGAGGAACACUCGUGGCGAAGGCGGGUUCCUGGACAUUAACUGACGCUGAGGCACGAAGGCCAGGGGAGCGAAAGGGAUUAGAUACCCGUGUAGUC